GAAGGGGGCUAGCGUUGCUCGGAAUUACUGGGCGUAAAGGGCGCGUAGGCGGAUCGUUAAGUCAGAGGUGAAAUCCCAGGGCUCAACCCUGGAACUGCCUUUGAUACUGGCGAUCUUGAGUAUGAGAGAGGUAUGUGGAACUCCGAGUGUAGAGGUGAAAUUCGUAGAUAUUCGGAAGAACACCAGUGGCGAAGGCGACAUACUGGCUCAUUACUGACGCUGAGGCGCGAAAGCGUGGGGGGAGCAAACAGGAUUAGAUACCCUGGUAGUCCACGCCGUAAACGAUGAUUGCUAGUUGUCGGGCUGCAUGCAGUUCGGUGACGCAGCUAACGCAUUAAGCAAUCCGCCUGGGGAGUACGGUCGCAAGAUUA
rnacentral:rRNA from 1 species